rnacentral:rRNA from 1 species
UACGUAGGGGGCAAGCGUUGUCCGGAAUUAUUGGGCGUAAAGCGCGCGCAGGCGGUUGAUUAAGUUUGGUGUUUAAGCCCGGGGCUCAACCCCGGUUCGCACUGAAAACUGAUCGACUUGAGUGUAGGAGAGGAAAGUGGAAUUCCACGUGUAGCGGUGAAAUGCGUAGAGAUGUGGAGGAACACCAGUGGCGAAGGCGAACUUUCUGGCCUAGUAACUGACGCUGAGGCGCGAAAGCGUGGGGAGCAA